AGUGAACGCUGGCGGUAGGCCUAACACAUGCAAGUCGAACGGCAGCACAGGAGAGCUUGCUCUCUGGGUGGCGAGUGGCGGACGGGUGAGGAAUACAUCGGAAUCUACUUUUUCGUGGGGGAUAACGUAGGGAAACUUACGCUAAUACCGCAUACGACCUACGGGUGAAAGCAGGGGAUCUUCGGACCUUGCGCGAUUGAAUGAGCCGAUGUCGGAUUAGCUAGUUGGCGGGGUAAAGGCCCACCAAGGCGACGAUCCGUAGCUGGUCUGAGAGGAUGAUCAGCCACACUUGAACUGAGACACGGUCCAGACUCCUACGGGAGGCAGCAGUGGGGAAUAUUGGACAAUGGGCGCAAGCCUGAUUCAGCCAUACCGCGUGGGUGAAGAAGGCCUUCGGGUUGUAAAGCCCUUUUGUUGGGAAAGAAAUCCAGCUGGCUAAUACCCGGUUGGGAUGACGGUACCCAAAGAAUAAGCACCGGCUAACUUCGUGCCAGCCGCCGCGGUAA
rnacentral:rRNA from 1 species